AGAGUUUGAUCCUGGCUCAGAUUGGACGCUGCGGCAGGCCUUACACAUGCAGUCGAACGGUAACAGGAGAAAGCUUGCUUUCUUGGCGACGAGUGGCGGACGGGUGAGUUAUGCUGGGGAUCUGGCCUUAUGGAGGGGGAUAACUACGGGAAACUGUAGCUAAUACCGCGUAUAUCUUCGGAUUAAAGGGUGGGACUUUCGGGCCACCUGCCAUAAGAUGAGCCCAAGUGGGAUUAGGUAGUUGGUGGGGUAAAGGCCUACCAAGCCGACGAUCUCUAGCUGGUCUGAGAGGAUGACCAGCCACACUGGAACUGAGACACGGUCCAGACUCCUACGGGAGGCAGCAGUGGGGAAUAUUGCACAAUGGGGGGAACCCUGAUGCAGCCAUGCCGCGUGAAUGAAGAAGGCCUUCGGGUUGUAAAGUUCUUUCGGUGAUGAGGAAGGUGUUUGUUUUAAUAGAACAAGCAAUUGACGUUAGUCACAGAAGAAGCACCGGCUAACUCCGUGCCAGCAGCCGCGGUAAUACGGAGGGUGCGAGCGUUAAUCGGAAUGACUGGGCGUAAAGGGCACGCAGGCGGUGACUUAAGUGAGAUGUGAAAGCCCCGAGCUUAACUUGGGAAUUGCAUUUCAUACUGGGUCGCUAGAGUAUUUUAGGGAGGGGUAGAAUUCCACGUGUAGCGGUGAAAUGCGUAGAGAUGUGGAGGAAUACCGAAGGCGAAGGCAGCCCCUUGGGAAUAUACUGACGCUCAUGUGCGAAAGCGUGGGGAGCAAACAGGAUUAGAUACCCUGGUAGUCCACGCUGUAAACGCUGUCGAUUUGGGGAUUGGGCUUAGAACUUGGUGCCCGUAGCU
rnacentral:rRNA from 1 species